GUGCUCGCUUCGGCAGCACAUAUACUAAAAUUGGAAUGAUACAGAGAAGAUUAGCAUGGCCCCUGCGCAAGGAAGACAUGCAAAUUUGUGAAGAAUAUACCAAAUUA
ensembl:snRNA U6 U6 spliceosomal RNA